CGGGCGUCUUAACAUGCAAGUCGAACGAUUAAAGCACCUUCGGGUGUGUAUAAAGUGGCGAACGGCUGAGUAACACGUGGGCAACCUGCCCCUUUCAUUGGGAUAGCCACGGGAAACCGUGGAUAAUACCGAAUACUUCGAGACUUCCGCAUGGAAGACUCGAGAAAGCUCCGGCGGAGAGGGAUGGGCCCGCGGCCUGUUAGCUUGUUGGUGGGGUAACGGCCUACCAAGGCAAUGAUGGGUAGCUGGGUUGAGAGACCGACCAGCCAGAUUGGGACUGAGACACGGCCCAGACUCCUACGGGAGGCAGCAGUGGGGAAUCUUGCACAAUGGGCGAAAGCCUGAUGCAGCGACGCCGCGUGCGGGAUGAAGGCCUUCGGGUUGUAAACCGCUUUCAGCAGGGACGAGGCGAAAGUGACGGUACCUGCAGAAGAAGCCCGGCUAAUAC
rnacentral:rRNA from 2 species